AUGCAUGUUAACAUUAGAAGCCUCCUCCCUAAGUUUGUUCUAUUCACUGCUUUAGCACACUCUGCCAACCCGGAUGUUCUAGCUGUGUCUGAAUCCUGGCUUAGGAAGACCACCAAAAAUUCAGACAUUUUAAUUCCAAACUACAACAUUUUCAGACAAGAUAGAACUGCCAAAGGGGGCGGUGUUGCAAUCUACUGCAAAGAUAGCCUGCAGAGUUCUGUCCUACUAUCCAGGUCUGUACCCAAACAAUUUGAACUUCUACUUUUAAAAACCCACCUCUCUAAAAACAAGUCUCUCACCGUUGCCGCCUGCUAUAGACUACCCUCUGCCCCCAGCUGUGCUCUGGACACCAUAUGUGAACUGAUUGCCCCCCAUCUAUCUUCAGAGCUUGUGCUGCUAGGCGACCUAAACUGGAACAUGCUUAACACCCCAGCCAUCCUACAAUCUAAACUUGAUGCCCUCAACCUCACACAAAUUAUCAAUGAACCUACCAGGUACCUCCCCAAAGCCUUAAACACGGGCACCCUCAUAGAUAUCAUCCUAACCAACUUGCCCUCUAAAUACACCUCUGCUGUUUUCAACCAAGAUCACUGCCUCAUUGCCUGCAUCCGUAAUGGGUCAGCGGUCAAACGACCUCCACUCAUCACUGUAAAACGCUCCCUGAAACACUUCAGCGAGCAGGCCUUUCUAAUCGACCUGGCCGGGGUAUCCUGGAAGGAUAUUGAUCUCAUCCCGUCAGUAGAGGAUGCCUGGAUAUUUUUUUUAAAUGCCUUCCUAACCAUCUUAAAUAAACAUGCCCCAUUCAAGAAAUGUAGAACCAGGAACAGAUAUAGCCCUUGGUUCUCCCCAGACCUGACUGCCCUUAACCAACACAAAAACAUCCUAUGGCGUUCUGCAUUAGCAUCGAACAGCCCCCGUGAUAUGCAGCUGUUCAGGGAAGCUAGAAACCAUUAUACACAGGCAGUUAGAAAAGCCAAGGCUAGCUUUUUCAAGCAGAAAUUUGCUUCCUGCAACACUAACUCAAAAAAAGUUCUGGGACACUGUAAAGUCCAUGGAGAAUAA
rnacentral:lncRNA from 1 species